rnacentral:rRNA from 1 species
UACGAAGGGGGCAAGCGUUGUUCGGAUUUACUGGGCGUAAAGGGCGCGUAGGCGGCAUGAUAAGUCACUUGUGAAAUCUCCGGGCUUAACUCGGAGCGGCCAAGUGAUACUGUCGAGCUAGAGUGCAGAAAGGGCAAUCGGAAUUCUCGGUGUAGCGGUGAAAUGCGUAGAUAUCGAGAGGAACACCUGAGGCGAAGGCGGGUUGCUAGGCUGACACUGACGCUGAGGCGCGAAAGCUAGGGUAGCAAACGGG